GGGGAGAGUGAGUGAAUGAAUUUGAGAGAUUUGAAGAUAAAUUUUUUGUUGUUUAUUUGAGUGAAUUUGGAGGUAAGUGAGAAUCAAUUUGAAACUAAAGUUUAUGAGAAUUAGUAUAAAAUUUGACCAAUAUGAUAGAUAAAAAAUAUUUAAUUGGUAGAACUUGAAUAUUACUAAAAUAUCUUUAGUAGUAAAAAUAUUAUAUAAAAUG
rnacentral:lncRNA from 1 species